rnacentral:tRNA from 2 species
UGGGGUAUAGCUCAGGUGGUUAGAGCGCUUCGCUGAUAACGAAGAAGUCGGGGGUUCAACUCCCUCUGCCCCAAC